UUAAGGUAAGCACACAUAAUAAAUCAAUUAGGUUAAUUAGAUUAGUCUGCGGGCUAGCUAGUUAGUGCUAAUUGUUGAGGCUAACGCAGUUAAGUGUGGCCUUACAUGUUUCUCUGUUUUUCCAAUUAGCGAUCACAUAAUCAUGCAAUUUCAUGUUAAGGACUUAAUUUUAACUGAAAAGUGUUGUGUAGUCUGACUGAUUGCUAAUGGAUUCGGUUUUUAAGGUUGUUUUUGUCUAGUUUGCGCUAGUGCUGGACGGUGGCUUAUUUUAUAUUUUAAAUUGAAGAUAUCUUACAUGUAACGUUAACACUUAUGUUUGACUGAUCAAUAAUUGUUUUUACAUUUAAAUUAACUCUAUAGGCAGCAUAUACAAGCCACAGAUCUUGACCAAAGUGCUUAACAGAGAAAUUAAGUUGGCUAAAAUAAAACAAAAACUAAAAUAGAAAGUAGCUUUAAGAAUAAACUUAAUUUUAAUUAUGACGGUAGUUAAAAUAAACUGGGGUUUGUAUGGUGAGCUCGUUCAAAAGAGUAACUUGGUUAGGUUAAGGACCAAAUGAAUAGUUAAAUAAUUGCCAAGGCUAAUGUUACCUGGAAUAAAAUAGAAGAUGGUGAGUUGAUGCUCUCAAGGCUAGCAUUGUUGUGCCAGUCAAUAAAUCUAAUAUUAUUUUAUAGAGUUCAUAUGUCUUGUCUUACACUGAUGCAUACAAUAUCAUUGUAAUGCUGUAACAUUACAAUACCAUUUUUAUCUACUUCUUGAACAUAUUAGUUGAAUUCUGCGUAUCUUCAUUUUCAGUGUAAUUACUUUCACAUGUUUUUAUUUUUCAUCAGUUUGAAAUGCCACCACGAAUCAGCCCCCUUAAGGAUGCCAUGCAUCAUGUUGUUUCAAAAACUGACAAAACAUUCAAAUUAGAUGUGAAGUAUAUCAGUGCAGUGAAAGGACGUGGUCUAUUUGCAAAGGCUGCCUUUUGCAAAGGUGAUUUUGUUGUUGAGUACAGGGGAGAUAUGAUAAAUGAAGCAGAACUUCAGAGGAGAAGAAAACGUUACCACGCAUCCUGUGCUGCAUUUAUGUUUGAUUUCAAGUGGCGAGGGAAAACAUGGUGUAUUGACGCGUCAAGGGAAGAUGGAUCGUAUGGGCGUAUCGCUAAUGAUUGCCACAAUCAUCCAAAUUGUAAGAUGAAAAAAAUUGACGUCAAUGGAAAGCCUCACCUUUGUCUGUUUGCCCUGAAUGACAUUAAAGAAGGAGAAGAAAUUGCCUAUGA